UCAUCAUGCCCUUAUGACUUGGGCUACACACGUGCUACAAUGGAUGGUACAACGAGCAGCGACCUUGUGAAAGCAAGCGAAUCUCUUAAAGCCAUUCUCAGUUCGGAUUGUAGUCUGCAACUCGACUACAUGAAGCCGGAAUCGCUAGUAAUCGCGGAUCAGCACGCCGCGGUGAAUACGUUCCCGGGUCUUGUACACACCGCCCGUCACACCACGAGAGUUUGUAACACCUGAAGUCGGUGAGGUAACCUUUGGAGCCAGGCCGCCGAAGGUGGGACAGAUGAUUGGGGUGAAGUCGUAACAAGGUAGCCGUAGGUGAA
rnacentral:rRNA from 1 species